GAAUUUUGCGCAAUGGGCGAAAGCCUGACGCAGCGACGCCGCGUGGAGGAUGACGGUUUUAGGAUUGUAAACUCCUGUUAAGUGGGAAGAAAGACUAGUCUCUAAUAUAGGCUAGGAAUGACGGUACCACUCGCGAAAGCACCGGCUAACUUCGUGCCAGCAGCCGCGGUAAUACGAGGGGUGCAAACGUUAUUCGGAUUAACUGGGCGUAAAGGGUGUGUAGACGGAACAUUAAGUUCGUUGUUAAAUCUUUCGGCUUAACCGGAAGCUUGCGGUGAAAACUAAUGAUCUUGAGGGUGAAAGAGAGAAGUGGAAUUCUCGGAGUAGCGGUAAAAUGCGUAGAUCUCGAGAGGAACACCGAUGGCGAAGGCAGCUUCUUGGUUCACUUCUGACGUUGAGACACGAAAGCGUGGGUAGCAAACAGG
rnacentral:rRNA from 1 species